CAGAAUUAAACACAUUUAUGUACAGAAUCCAUCCUCAUGUCGCUCUCCAGCCUGCUCUGGGUGUUCCUGGCCAUCGCCUUCUCUGGAUCUUGUGUGGCCCAGAAAGUUACUCAAGACCAGUCAGACAUAAUCAGCCAAGUGGGACAGUCAGUCAUUUUUAACUGUCAGUAUGGAAUAGGUUGGUUCACAUACUACUACUCCAUUUAUUGGUACAAGCAGCUUCCCAGGGGACAGAUGACUCUCCUUAUUCAUCAAAAUUCAGAACACGGGAAUGCAGGGAAUGGCCGCUACUCUGUAAACUUCCAGAAAGCAUAUAAAUCCAUCAGCCUCACCAUUUCAGCCUUACAGCUGGAAGACUCUGCAAAGUACUUCUGUGCUCUUAGGGAGCUCUCAAGUAAAAGAACAAAGAGAUAUUCACAGUGCUUGAAGUAAUGGGAAAAGCCGUACAAAAACCCCAGAGCUUAAUACGAGAGUUCUGCUGCUGCAGGACCCCAGCUGAAAUGCACACCUGCAGACCCCAGACAAGAAAU